rnacentral:rRNA from 1 species
UUGAGCCGGCGGCGGCCUAACACUAGCCAGUUCGUAACACGGGUAACCCGCACAGCUUGCUUCUUUGCUGACGAGUGGCGGACGGGUGAGUAAUGUCUGGGAAACUGCCUGAUGGAGGGGGAUAACUACUGGAAACGGUAGCUAAUACCGCAUAACGUCGCAAGACCAAAGAGGGGGACCUUCGGGCCUCUUGCCAUCGGAUGUGCCCAGAUGGGAUUAGCUAGUAGGUGGGGUAACGGCUCACCUAGGCGACGAUCCCUAGCUGGUCUGAGAGGAUGACCAGCCACACUGGAACUGAGACACGGUCCAGACUCCUACGGGAGGCAGCAGUGGGGAAUAUUGCACAAUGGGCGCAAGCCUGAUGCAGCCAUGCCGCGUGUAUGAAGAAGGCCUUCGGGUUGUAAAGUACUUUCAGCGGGGAGGAAGGGAGUAAAGUUAAUACCUUUGCUCAUUGACGUUACCCGCAUAAGAAGCACCGGCUAACUCCGUGCCAGCAGCUCCCGGUAAUACGGAGGGUGCAUGCAUUAAUCGGAAUUACUG